UACGUAGGGUGCAAGCGUUGUCCGGAAUUAUUGGGCGUAAAGAGCUCGUAGGCGGUCUGUCGCGUCUGCUGUGAAAACUCAGGGCUUAACCCUGAGCUUGCAGUGGGUACGGGCAGACUAGAGUGCGGUAGGGGAGACUGGAAUUCCUGGUGUAGCGGUGAAAUGCGCAGAUAUCAGGAGGAACACCGGUGGCGAAGGCGGCAUCCUGGACCGACACUGACACUGAGGAGCGAAAGCCAGGGGAGCAAACGGG
rnacentral:rRNA from 1 species